rnacentral:rRNA from 1 species
GACGAACCGUGCGAACGUUGUUCGGAAUCACUGGGCUUAAAGGGCGCGUAGGCGGGUCAUCAAGUCCGGGGUGAAAUCCUUCGGCUUAACCGAAGCAGGGCUUCGGAUACUGGUGACCUCGAGGGGUGUAGGGGCAUGUGGAACUUCCGGUGGAGCGGUGAAAUGCGUAGAUAUCGGAAGGAACGCCGGUGGCGAAAGCGACGUGCUGGACACCUUCUGACGCUGAGGCGCGAAAGCCAGGGGAGCAAACGGG